UACGUAGGGUGCGAGCGUUGUCCGGAAUUAUUGGGCGUAAAGAGCUCGUAGGCGGUGUGUCACGUCGGCCGUGAAAACCUGGGGCUUAACUCUGGGCGUGCGGUCGAUACGGGCAUCACUAGAGUUCGGCAGGGGAGACUGGAAUUCCUGGUGUAGCGGUGAAAUGCGCAGAUAUCAGGAGGAACACCGGUGGCGAAGGCGGAUCUCUGGGCCAUUACUGACGCUGAGGAGCGAAAGCGUGGGGAGCGAACAGG
rnacentral:rRNA from 1 species